rnacentral:rRNA from 1 species
UACAGAGGUCUCAGGCGUUGUUCGGAUUCAUUGGGCGUAAAGGGUGUGUAGGUGGCGCGCUAAGUCGGGUGUGAAAUUUCGGAGCUUAACUCCGAAACUGCAUUCGAUACUGGCGUGCUUGAGGACUGGAGAGGAGACUGGAAUUCAUGGUGUAGCAGUGAAAUGCGUAGAGAUCAUGAGGAAGACCAGUGGCGAAGGCGGGUCUCUGGACAGUUCCUGACGCUGAGGCACGAAGGCCAGGGGAGCAAACGGG